UUCCCCUGAGGGAAAGUUGCAAAGAACUUUGAAGAGAGAGUUCAAGAGGGCGUGAAACCGCUUAGAAGGAAACGGAUGGAGCAGACGUCAGUUCCUGGGAUUCAGCCUGAUGUUCAUGAAGGUUGCUGCCUCUCCUGAUCAGACUCAGUGACGGGUGGUGGUAAUUCUUCUUGGACUUGGGUGCACUUCUCAGGGAUCGUGCCAAAGGCAGUGAGUGUGUCACGGUGGUCUAGAGUUGGUGGCUCUUGGCUUAGUCGUCAGGAGUGUCUCGCUCUGGUGUCCAGUGUGGUCACGCUUACUGUGAAGGAAAAAGUGCCCGUCUCAAACUCAUGACUGCUGGCAUUUGUGCUAGUGAUGGUUGGUACCCAGUCUCUGGACCUGCCUCACUGGUGUAGGUGUUCUCGGUGGCCUAUGAGUGGUGCUUGGCUUUGGUAUUUUGUCUGUGACCCAUCCGACCCGUCUUGAAACACGGACCAAGGAGUCUAACAUGGGCGCGAGUUACUGGGUUGCUAAACCUAAGAGCGUAAUGAACGUGAAGGCUGACUCUGUCGGCUGAUGUGGGAUCCGUGGCUUUGCUGCGGCGCACCACAGUCCCGCCCUGACUGCAUUGUCAGUGGGGCGGAGAUAGAGCGUGCAUGUUGGGACCCGAAAGAUGGUGAACUAUGGCUGAGCAGGACGAAGCCAGAGGAAACUCUGGUGGAGGUCCGUAGACGUUCUGACGUGCAAAUCGAUGUCUGGACUUGGCUAUAGGGGCNAAAGACUAAUCNAACUAUCUAGUAGCUGGUU
rnacentral:rRNA from 1 species